rnacentral:misc_RNA from 1 species
UUGAAUUUGAACAUUUGAAAUACAUAUAUGACCUGCUUUAAUUUACUUGCUAACUUUAUUCUAGGUUAAAUUGCAGAUUCAUGAAUGAAAUAUUUUUAUGUUCUAAAUAGAAGAAAGUAUCUUGCCAUAGUGGAAAUGUUUCAGCAUUUUUCUAAUCCUCAGUGAUUUGUGUGUGAGAACUCAUCAUGCGAUUUUGCUUAUUUUAAUUCGCUUGCAUUUGAAUUUC